rnacentral:lncRNA from 1 species
AUGGUGGCUACAGGAGCUCUGCGACCUCGAUCUGACGGCGGGUGCACGGCGAACUCGAUACGGCGCGGCGGGGUCGUGGCGAGAUCCAUCCUGCAUUCGAGUUGCAUCAAGCUCAAUCCGAAGCUUCAGAGGGAGUUUGAGCAGUGUUUGGAUGUCACUUUCAUCAUUUGUAUCUGUAUACUCAGCGCCAUCACUUUCAGAAUCUUCCUCUUCUUCCUCUUCCUCUUCAAACAGAUCAUCUUCAGAAUGUGUUACUGGUUCUGCUUCAAUGGGUUCACAUUCGACUCCAUCUUUACUGAGAACCGUAGGGAAGUCACCAUCAUCAAUUGUAGUGUAAUUCAAUGCAGCCGUGAUAUGCUCAUUCUCUUGGCAUGCUUCAGAACUAGACUUAUUUGAUAAAGUUGGA